rnacentral:Y_RNA from 1 species
AGAUGGUCAGAAGGUAGUGAGUUAUCUCCAUUGAUUGUUCACAGUCAGUUAUGAACUCCUUGUUCUCUUCCCCCUCUUCUCACUACUCUACUUGUCUUUUGUUUU